rnacentral:rRNA from 1 species
UACGUAGGGGGCAAGCGUUGUCCGGAAUUAUUGGGCGUAAAGCGCGCGCAGGCGGCUUCUUAAGUCAGGUGUGAAAGCCCACGGCUCAACCGUGGAGGGCCAUCUGAAACUGGGGAGCUUGAGUGCAGGAGAGGAGAGCGGAAUUCCACGUGUAGCGGUGAAAUGCGUAGAGAUGUGGAGGAACACCCGUGGCGAAGGCGGCUCUCUGGUCUGUAACUGACGCUGAGGCGCGAAAGCGUGGGGAGCAAACAGG